rnacentral:snoRNA from 1 species
AUUUCAUGAUGUGGGAAGCUUGCACAAAGCCUCUUGAAUCUCUCCCAAUAUUCAUAUAAACCUUCUGCAUAUAGUUGUGUAAUUCAAAAAAUAUCUUUUCUGAUUGC